GACGAACGCUAGGCCGGCGGCGGCCUAACACAUGCAAGUCGAACGGAGUUUGAGAGAGGCUUGGCUUUUUACGAAACUUAGUGGCGAACGGGUGAGUAACGCGUGAGUAACCUGCCCUGGAGUGGGGGACAACAGUUGGAAACGACUGCUAAUACCGCAUAAGCCCACGGCCCGGCAUCGGGUUGAGGGAAAAGGAUUUAUUCGCUUCAGGAUGGACUCGCGUCCAAUUAGCUAGUUGGUGAGGUAACGGCCCACCAAGGCGACGAUUGGUAGCCGGACUGAGAGGUUGAACGGCCACAUUGGGACUGAGACACGGCCCAG
rnacentral:rRNA from 1 species